GCAUAUCAAUAAGCGGAGGAAAGAACCAACAGGAUGCCUAGUACGGCGAGUGAGCGGCAACAGCUCAAUUUGAAAUCUGGCGUCUUCGGCGUCCGAGUUGUAAUUUGCAGAGGGCGCUUUGGCAUUGGCAGCGGUCCAAGUUCCUUGGAACAGGACGUCACAGAGGGUGAGAAUCCCGUACGUGGUCGCUAGCCUUUACCGUGUAAAGCCCCUUCGACGAGUCGAGUUGUUUGGGAAUGCAGCUCUAAAUGGGAGGUAAAUUUCUUCUAAAGCUAAAUACUGGCCAGAGACCGAUAGCGCACAAGUAGAGUGAUCGAAAGAUGAAAAGCACUUUGGAAAGAGAGUUAAAAAGCACGUGAAAUUGUUGAAAGGGAAGCGCUUGCAGCCAGACUUGCCUGUAGUUGCUCAUCCGGGUUUCUACCCGGUGCACUCUUCUAUGGGCAGGCCAGCAUCAGUUUGGGCGGUUGGAUAAAGGUCUCUGUCAUGUACCUCUCUUCGGGGAGAACUUAUAGGGGAGACGUCAUGCAACCAGCCUGGACUGAGGUCCGCGCAUCUGCUAGGAUGCUGGCGUAAUGGCUGUAAGCGGCCCGUCUUGAAACACGGACCAAGGAGUCUAACAUCUAUGCGAGUGUUUGGGUGUCAAGCCCGAGCGCGUAAUGAAAGUGAACGGAGGUGGGAACCUUUCGGGGUGCACCAUCGACCGAUCCUGAUGUCUUCGGAUGGAUUUGAGUAAGAGCAUAGCUGUUGGGACCCGAAAGAUGGUGAACUAUGCUUGAAUAGGGUGAAGCCAGAGGAAACUCUGGUGGAGGCUCGCAGCGGUUCUGACGUGCAAAUCGAUCGUCAAAUUUGGCAUAGGGCGAAGACUAUCGAAC
rnacentral:rRNA from 1 species